rnacentral:rRNA from 1 species
UACGGAGGGUGCAAGCGUUAAUCGGAAUUACUGGGCGUAAAGCGCACGUAGGUGGUUCGCUAAGUCAGCUGUGAAAUCCCCGGGCUCAACCUGGGACUUGCAGUUGAAACUGGUGAGCUAGAGUAGGGUAGAGGGGUGUGGAAUUCCAGGUGUAGCGGUGAAAUGCGUAGAUAUCGUUUGGAACGCCAACGGUGAAAACAGACAGCUGGGAGUGUGCUGACGCUGAGACACGAAAGCCAGGGGAGCGAACGGG